rnacentral:rRNA from 1 species
AACGAACGCUGGCGGCAUGCCUAACACAUGCAAGUCGAACGAGACCUUCGGGUCUAGUGGCGCACGGGUGCGUAACGCGUGGGAACCUGCCCUUAGGUUCGGAAUAACUCCCCGAAAGGGGUGCUAAUACCGGAUAAUUUCUUCGGACCAAAGAUUUAUCGCCUUUGGAUGGGCCCGCGUUGGAUUAGCUAGUUGGUAGGGUAAAAGCCUACCAAGGCGACGAUCCAUAGCUGGUCUGAGAGGAUGAUCAGCCACACUGGGACUGAGACACGGCCCAGACUCUUACGGGAGGCAGCAGUGGGGAAUAUUGGACAAUGGGCGAAAGCAUGAUCCAGCUAUGCUGCGUGAGUGAUGAAGGCGUUAGGGUUGUAAAGCUCUUUUACCCGGGAUGAUAAUGACAGUACCGGGAGAAUAAGCUCCGGCUAACUCCGUG